rnacentral:ncRNA from 2 species
GUAAAUCUUCAGGGCAGGGCGAAAUUCCCUACCGGCGGUAACUUUAUUAUUAUAUACAAGAAGCCCGCGAGCGCUCUUGCAACUUUGUAAGAGGACUAGCAGAUUUGGUGAAAAUCCAAAGCCGACAGUUAAAGUCUGGAUGAAAGAAGAUAGUA